UACGGAGGGUGCGAGCGUUAUCCGGAAUCACUGGGCGUAAAGGGCGCGUAGGCGGCUUGUUAAGUCCGUUGUUAAUGACUGGGGCUCAACCCCGGCACGGCAGUGGGUACUGGCAGGCUGGACGGCUGGAGAGGCGAGUGGAAUUACCAGUGUAGCGGUGAAAUGCGUAGAUACUGGUAGGAACACCUAUGGCGAAGGCAGCUCGCUGGACAGCUCGUGACGCUGAGGCGCGAAAGUGUGGGUAGCGAACAGG
rnacentral:misc_RNA from 1 species